CUGGGCUCGAAGCACAGUGGACCGGGGUAGAAAUAUCCCUUUUCGCAAGAACUGCUGUGGAGGUGCUGCAUGGCUGUCGUCAGCUCGUGUCGUGAGAUGUUGGGUUAAGUCCCGCAACGAGCGCAACCCUUAUCGUUAGUUGCCAGCGAGUCAAGUCGGGCACUCUAGCGAAACCGCCCCGGAUAACGGGGAGGAAGGUGGGGAUGACGUCAAGUCCUCAUGGCCUUUAUGUCCAGGGCUACACACACGCUACAAUGGCCGGUACAACGGGUUCCGACACGGCGACGUGAAGGCAAUCCCUAAAAGCCGGUCUCAGUUCGGAUUGCAGGCUGCAACUCGCCUGCAUGAAGUCGGAGUUGCUAGUAACCGCUGGUCAGCACACAGCGGUGAAUACGUUCCC
rnacentral:rRNA from 1 species